rnacentral:rRNA from 1 species
AAGCGCUUGCGACCAGACUCGCUCGCGGGGUUCAGCCGGCACUCGUGCCGGUGUACUUCCCCGCGGGCGGGCCAGCGUCGGUUUGGGCGGCCGGUCAAAGGCCCCUGGAAUGUAUCACCCUCCGGGGUUGUCUUAUAGCCAGGGGUGCAAUGCGGCCAGCCCGGACCGAGGAACGCGCUUCGGCUCGGACGCUGGCAUAAUGGUCGUAAACGA